rnacentral:lncRNA from 1 species
AACAAGGAAGAUAAGAUAAGGUGGACAGAGUUACCUUGGAAAUGCCAAAUGACAAUUGGUACUAUCAUAAUAAUAAUUUGGGUCCUUGAGAUGUCGUAGACGUGUGGUACUAUCAUAAUAAUAAUUUGGGUCCUUGAGAUGUCGUAGACGUGUGCGAGUCUCUGCAGCAGUUGUACCUUGAGAGUGUGAAGUUGCAGUCAUGUGUGAGAGGCACAACAACAAUGGUGUGAGGUGCAACAUCGUGCCAUUAGGUGCUACACUGCAAAUUGAAUUGAUAGGAAAGGAUAAUUGAAUCCUUUUUUAUCAACUGCAAAAAUAUCCUACCCGUCUCCAAGCCUACAUUAUAAUCCGAUAACAA